rnacentral:misc_RNA from 1 species
UUUCCGUAGGUGAACCUGCGGAAGGAUCAUUAACAAAUUCCAAAACACGCGUGUUUGAUCUUGUGUGUUGUGACAGUAGUAGUAGUAGUAGUAGUGGUAAUGGUAGUGUUCUAGUGGCUUGUAGGUCGAAUUCAAACAGGGUGUCCCCAUGCAGAGCCAUUUUGUCGAUCUUUUGCACUAGAGUAGUCUUAUUAUUAUUAGUAGUAGUAUGCGCCUCUGCUGUCAUGACGCCUAGAUCAUGAUAUACAACACACACAACACUCACAUUUAUAAACGACAACCAAGAGUAACCUAAAACGUUAAAUCGAAACAACUUUUAACAAUGGAUCUCUCGGCUCUU